CUGAAAUCUCUCUGGGUACCAUCAGAAGGGCUGGAUUUCUCCUUGAUUUCAUCCUACCUUUUAGGGUGAUCAGUACCAGCCAGAUUCCUCUUUCUACUGACACAACUGGAAAGGGGGAUCCUGGGUCUGGUUGGUGGAGACUCUGUGUCCUGGUUUCCAUGGUUACUGGAGCCAGCUGAAUGUCCAGGUUCUGCCCCGAGUCCACACUGUAUACCCUGCUGCUUUCUGAAAAAGCCAGAAAUAAUCAUUUGGGUGGCACCAGAAGAAAACAUAAUCCACAGGAACCAACAGGUCUUGGGAUAAACUUGACCCCUCUAAGGCAGUUUGACCAAACUACCAAUCCAAGGAAGGCUCCCUGCUCUCGGGCAGGGGCGUCAUAAGAGCUAAGGAAGUGGUCUCUUCUCAGGAAGUGGGUCGACAAAUGACCUAAAAUUCAACCCUUCCCUUCAUGGAAGAAACUUAUCAUCUAAAGGAGGAAAGCUUUAAAAUAUGCUCCUUUUUUCAAGAGAAAAAAGAGUGAGAAGAGGAAUUUACUGUCCUGCAGUUUCUAGAAUAAAGAAGGAAAAUAUUUUCUGAAAAUGAGUACCUGUUCCCUUCAGUGUGAGUGUAAAUUUUGCAGUUUUAAAGAUACCUUGCUCCUGAAAACUUAG
ensembl:lncRNA